CAGUUGCAGGUUGCAGUUGCAGUUGCAGUUGCAGGCCUAAUACUAGAAUAGGCGACAAAUUAAAAGGCACCUAUAGCGACGCAUUAUGGCACUUUUUAAGAUUCACGAUGCAAAAAAAAUAGUAUUUGUCGUCAUUUUUUAAAUGUAAAAAUAGUUUUUCUAAGUUCCACAGCAGUUGGAUCUCAUAAAUCGGGCUAGCAAAACCAUACCAAAAAAUGAUUAAUGUCGUCUGCCAGUAUACUACACUACUGUCAAACACAGCAUUUACAAGACAUUGGCUGCCGAUUAUGCCAUUGGGGAGGCAGAAAAGAGGAAAGCGAUUACCAUUUAUUCAGAAAUUAAGGGCUGUGAAAAGAGCUACUGUUAAUCAAAGGUGUUUUUAGAACUAACUUAAUUAUUUAAAUUUGGAAAUCGAAUUGAAAGGCAGAAUAUAAAAAUCUUUUAUGUGUUGAACCAGGAUUUGAGGGAAACUAAAUUUUAUCAGAAGAGUAGAUUUCUUGAAAUUCAGUUUUGAUGCUAUCUGGAAUAAUUCUGUCAAUGACUUUUUUAUCAGCAUGACAUUUCAUAAGUUACCUGAAAUAACUUUAUGGAGAUGAAGGUUUUGAAAAAUUAGUAAGCUUACAUCCCGUUUCAACACGGAAUUGGUGAGCUAGCUCAAACACUCUUCCUCAAAAUGCGCUCUCAGGUUAGUUGGGGGAAACUAGUGCUGCCGCGGUGGCCAAUUGGUCGUUCCAGAUUUGUUGAUUUCGGCAUCCAUUUUGUUUUUUCUUAAAUAGGCCCGUAUAUUUUUACUGUAUUUUCUUAUUUAUUAUCAAUAUUUGAGCUUUUUAGUGAUGUUUUUCGUACUCAGCUUUUAAAUUUAAAAAUUUUUAAUUUUUGAAAUCUUUUUCCAGUCAUUUUGUCUUAAUUUUUUUACCAGUUAUCUUUCUCUCGCUUGCCUAUAGGAACUGUCAAAAUGGUGAUAUUUCCUUCAGUAACCUGCUUUUUUCCCAUCAAAACACCCCCAUUUUCUUUGUAAAAUAUCAAUUAUGGGGUAUGGCUUGGGACCCUUUUUCUGAAGAAAUUACCAGUAUUAUUGGUUAUCUGUGGAAUUUUCUUCAUCGUAAACUAUGAAGGCUGGAAUAAGAACAUGGACCUUUCAUCUGAAGAAAUUGCCAAUAUUUGUGAUCUGCGGGUUUAUCUUAAUCAGAAGUUAUCAAUGCUGGAAUGAAAACAGGGCAAAUCAAGGAAGGAGAAAUAAUCCUACGAUGAAGACCACACCAAGGCUUUGUUGGAUUUACAACUAAUCAAGGAAUACAAAGGAACUUACAGCUCUUAAGCAAAAGUUUAUUCACAGUAUUCCCGUAAAUGGAAUGGACAAUUGACGCUGUCAGCAGCAUAGGCUACCAAUACACACCAAAGAAUGGUCCACUAUAAUAAUACUUUUUCCAGUGAUUUCAUGUAUUCUUUCAUUUAUUUCCAAAAAUCACAUUGCAAUUGGUAGGCACAAUAAAAAUGAACAUAAGAAUAUGAAGAAAAA